AAUUAAGAAACUGGUGUUCACCAGAGGUACCUUCUCACAGGCAAAGCCAAGCUUUCCUGCUGGCCCCUCAGAACUCAAACCCACUCAUGUGGAAACCCGCUCCCGCGUCUGCAAGCCCCUCUGUGGUAUAGCUGAACACUGAUGGGACCCCAAUGACCACCUGCUUUUGUGUGAGACGUUCCUUGGAAUUCAACUCAAGAUACAACAUCUGAUUCCCAGGAACCACUUCAACGUCUUGACAAUAGAUGUGAAACAUGUGGUUAAAAUGGAGAAUGUCACAAUUCUAAUAUGUGUACGACCUCGGAGGCCAACCGUGGCGUUUUUGAUCAGAUCCCCGGUUUUAAUCAGCUUUUCUCUGCAAAGCUGAGCUCCUCGGCCAGCACCAAAUGCCGGGGACGGGCUGUGCUGCCCAGGAGCGGGGCUCUGCCAGCGCACAGGCCCAGGUUCAAAUGCCCUGGGGUGGGAGACAGGGGGCUCCCCUGCCCCGUGUGCCCAGUGGGGGCUUCCUGGCCUCGUGAGGCUGCUGUGAGGGACAGUGGGAGCCGAAGGGAGCAGGGGGGGGCUUUGCUUCUAAAGGAGGCCACUCAAACAUUUUCGUGGCUCAAUUCUUCACUUUCGUUUUCUAAAUCAAGAACUUUUGCUAAAGAACUUUGUGAGUGAUAAGCCACUUAUGUUAUCAAGCAUGUAUUUAAAUCAGCUCCACCCGUCAUUAAGGACAGGCCAUAGUUAAUCUAAACACAUAAUUUGGAAAACAGAUGUGUAUAUACAUACCGCAUAAUUCAUUCUUGUCUUGGUUUUGUAGAAAUUUCACAUCGUACUCUCGGUGAGUGUAAGUUUCUCUUACACUGGAGGACGAUGAUAAAAUUACGAUUACUAACACCAUCCUGAGUGCCUCACUGUCCCCCCCCUCUGCCCAGGGCCGGCCCGUCGGCUCCAGCAGCGGGCUCAGAUGCAGCCACAGGCUGCCAGAGACAUCAACGCUGCUGGGAUUCAGUCAACUGUGGAGAAGCUGGUAGAGCAGGAACACGUGUUGGGAAGUUCUCCCUACAAGGCUUUUACGACCUUAAUAUACCAAGGAACUGGCGGCCUGUUGCAGAACCAGGAGAGCGGAUUAAAACCAAAUGAGCCCCAAGAGGGCGGUGGCCGGGGGCCCCUGACGGUGGUGCAGCCUGCAAGGCAGAGUUCGUGGCCCAGGUUGUGGCCACCUUACCGUCCCACUGACGUGCUCCUUUCUAAAGCGGGGCGGGGGGUAGCAGCGUCCUGCACACAGUGGGUGUGCAAGCAUUUGCUGAACGAACGGAAAUAUUCUAACGGGAAACGGACACCAGGCACCCGCAGAGAGACA